GAUGAACGCUGGCGGCGUGCCUAAUACAUGCAAGUCGAGCGAACAGACGAGGCGCUUGCUCCUCUGACGUUAGCGGCGGACGGGUGAGUAACACGUGGAUAACCUACCUAUAAGACUGGGAUAACUUCGGGAAACCGGAGCUAAUACCGGAUAAUAUAUUGAACCGCAUGGUUCAAUAGUGAAAGACGGUUUUGCUGUCACUUAUAGAUGGAUCCGCGCCGCAUUAGCUAGUUGGUAAGGUAACGGCUUACCAAGGCGACGAUGCGUAGCCGACCUGAGAGGGUGGUCGGCCACACUGGAGCUGAGACACGGUCCAGACUCCUAAGGGAGGCAGCAGUAGGGAAUCUUACGCAAUGGGCGAAAGCCUGACGGAGCAACGCCGCGUGAGUGAUGAAGGUCUUCGGAGCGUAAAACUCUGUUAUUAGGGAAGAACAAAUGUGUAAGUAACUAUGCACGUAUUGACGGUAACUAAUCAGAAAGCCACGGCUAACUACGUG
rnacentral:rRNA from 1 species